rnacentral:tRNA from 1 species
GCCCGGUUAGCUCAGUCGGUAGAGCGUUAGGCUUUUAACCUAACGGUCGUGGGUUCGAGCCCCACACCGGGCG